rnacentral:rRNA from 1 species
AUACGGAGGGUGCAAGCGUUAAUCGGAAUUACUGGGCGUAAAGCGCUCGUAGGCGGCUUGUAAAGUCGGAUGUGAAAGCCCCGGGCUCAACCUGGGAACUGCAUUCGAUACUGGCAGGCUAGAGUAUAGUAGAGGCAAGUGGAAUUCCGGGUGUAGCGGUGAAAUGCGUAGAUAUCCGGAGGAACAUCAGUGGCGAAGGCGACUUGCUGGACUAAUACUGACGCUAAGGAGCGAAAGCGUGGGGAGCAAACGGGAUUAGAUACCCCGGUAGUCC